GAUAUUGCACAAUGGACGGAAGUCUGAUGCAGCGACGCCGCGUGGGCGAAGAAGGUUUUCGGAUCGUAAAGUCCUUUUCUAUGUGACGAGGAAGGACGGUAGCAUAGGAAUAAGCCCCGGCUAACUCCGUGCCAGCAGCCGCGGUAAUACGGAGGGGGCAAGCGUUAUCCGGAUUUACUGGGCGUAAAGGGCGCGUAGGCGGCGGCGCUAGCCGCUUGUGGAAGCUCCUGGCUCAACCAGGAGAUGCCAAGCGGGACGGCUCCGCUCGAGGCAGGGAGAGGGUCGCAGAACUGGCGGUGGAGUGGUGAAAUACGUAGAUAUCGCCAGGAAUACCCGUGGCGAAGGCGGCGACCUGGCCCUGUUCUGACGCUCAGGCGCGAUAGCGAGGGGAGCGAACGGGAUUAGAUACCCCGGUAGUCCUCGCCGUA
rnacentral:rRNA from 1 species